rnacentral:rRNA from 1 species
UACGUAGGGUGCGAGCGUUGCCCGGAUUUAUUGGGCGUAAAGAGCGUGUAGGCGGUUCGGUAGGUCCGUUGUGAAAACUCGAGGCUCAACCUCGAGACGCCGAUGGAAACCAUCGAACUAGAGUCCGGAAGAGGAGAGUGGAAUUCCUGGUGUAGCGGUGAAAUGCGCAGAUAUCAGGAAGAACACCCGUGGCUAAGGCGGCUCUCUAGUACGGUACUGACGCUGAGACGCGAAAGCGUGGGGAGCGAACAGG